rnacentral:piRNA from 1 species
UGAUCAAAGUUCUGAUGUGCUAACUUC